CUGAUACCCAGGGAACUGGUUCGAGCUUUUCCCCAGCCCCCUUCCCUUCUCGCCUGUUGUUUUUUUUUUUAAUCUUCCUGGUCCCUUCUGACAAGGUGUCCCGGGAUCUGCUGCUCGAGGACACUUUGCACCGUGCCGCAAAGGGGAAUGUUCAAAGCUGGAUGUCACAAUACCUUUCAAGUUAAUCAAAACCAGCUUUUGCAAUUAGCUCUCCGCAUCAGACAGGGACGGGACACCCUUUAGAAACAGGUUCUGAUAAUAAAACCAUUAGGCGGGUUCUGUUUCCAGUAACGAAGAUGGCCUGCAACUAAUUCCCCUCCUAACAGAAACAAGACUGGACGAGCCCUGGCACAGGCUGCCCGGCGAGGCUGCGGAGCUUCCGUCCCCGGAGGUACUCACAGCCGCCUGGCCGCGGUGCUGGGCAGCCGGCUCUGGUUUUAUCCCCUGGAGCAGCGAAGUUGGACGCAGCGACCCCAGAGGUGCCAGCCCCGGCGACUCUGGCGUUCUGCAGCUUCCAUUUGGACAUACGUGCAUU